GGAGAGGUGGCAGAGCGGUUGAAUGCACCGCACUCGAAAUGCGGCAUGGGCGCAAGUCCAUCGGGGGUUCGAAUCCCUCCCUCUCCGCCA
rnacentral:tRNA from 19 species